GACGAACGCUGGCGGCGUGCUUAACACAUGCAAGUCGAACGGAAAGGCCCUGCUUUUGUGGGGUGCUCGAGUGGCGAACGGGUGAGUAACACGUGAGUAACCUGCCCUUGACUUUGGGAUAACUUCAGGAAACUGGGGCUAAUACCGGAUAGGAGCUCCUGCUGCAUGGUGGGGGUUGGAAAGUUUCGGCGGUUGGGGAUGGACUCGCGGCUUAUCAGCUUGUUGGUGGGGUAGUGGCUUACCAAGGCUUUGACGGGUAGCCGGCCUGAGAGGGUGACCGGCCACAUUGGGACUGAGAUACGGCCGAGACUCCUACGGGAGGCAGCAGUGGGGAAUAUUGCACAAUGGGCGGAAGCCUGAUGCAGCAACGCCGCGUGCGGGAUGGCGGCCUUCGGGUUGUAAACCGCUUUCGCCUGUGACGAAGCGUGAGUGACGGUAAUGGGUAAAGAAGCACCGGCUAACUACGUG
rnacentral:rRNA from 1 species